UGGUCAUCAGGGCGCGCGCAGCAGGGAGGGGCGGGGCGGACUCAGAGCCGCGGUUAGUCUAGCGCCGCGGUCGCGAGCGCGUUAGGUGGCUGCUGUGG
rnacentral:pre_miRNA from 1 species